GACGAACGCUGGCGGCGUGCUUAACACAUGCAAGUCGAACGGUGAAAGCGGAGCUUGCUCCGCUGGAUCAGUGGCGAACGGGUGAGUAACACGUGGGCAACCUGCCCCUCACUUCGGGAUAACUCCGGGAAACCGGGGCUAAUACCGGAUAUGACCUCCUUGGGCAUCCUUGGAGGUGGAAAGUUUUUCGGUGAGGGAUGGGCCCGCGGCCUAUCAGCUUGUUGGUGAGGUAGUGGCUCACCAAGGUGACGACGGGUAGCCGGCCUGAGAGGGCGACCGGCCACACUGGGACUGAGACACGGCCCAGACUCCUACGGGAGGCAGCAGUGGGGAAUAUUGCGCAAUGGGCGAAAGCCUGACGCAGCAACGCCGCGUGCGGGAUGACGGCCUUCGGGUUGUAAACCGCUUUCAGCAGGGAAGAAGCCGCAAGGUGACGGUACCUGCGGAAGAAGCACCGGCUAACUACGUGCCAGCAGCCGCCGUAA
rnacentral:rRNA from 1 species